rnacentral:rRNA from 1 species
GAACGGUAGCACAGAGGAGCUUGCUCCUUGGGUGACGAGUGGCGGACGGGUGAGGAAUAUAUCGGAAUCUACCCAAUCGUGGGGGAUAACGUAGGGAAACUUACGCUAAUACCGCAUACGAUCUGAGGAUGAAAGCGGCGGACCGCAAGGCGUCGCGCGAUUGGAUGAGCCGAUAUCCGAUUAGCUAGUUGGUAAGGUAAAGGCUUACCAAGGCGACGAUCGGUAGCUGGUCUGAGAGGAUGAUCAGCCACACUGGAACUGAGACACGGUCCAGACUCCUACGGGAGGCAGCAGUGGGGAAUAUUGGACAAUGGGCGCAAGCCUGAUCCAGCCAUGCCGCAUGUGUGAAGAAGGCCUUCGGGUUGUAAAGCACUUUUGUUGGGAAAGAAAAGCAGCCGGUUAAUACCCGGUUGUUCUGACGGUACCCAAAGAAUAAGCACCGGCUAACUUCGUGCCAGCAGCCGCGGUAAUACGAAGGGUGCAAGCGUUACUCGGAAUUACUGGGCGUAAAGCGUGCGUAGGUGGUUUGUUAAGUCAGAUGUGAAAGCCCCGGGCUCAACCUGGGAAUUGCAUUUGAUACUGGCUGACUAGAGUGAGGUAGAGGAGAGUGGCAUUCCCGGUGUAGCAGUGAAUGCGUAGAGAUCGGGAGGAACAUCAGUUGCGAGCGCUCUUCUGGACAUCACUGACACUGAGCACGAAGCGGUGGGGGAGCAAACAGAUAGAUACCCUGUAGUCCACGCCCUAACGAUGCGGACUGGACGUGGGAUCAUGGAAAUCAUGUCAGGCUACGCGUAAGUUCGCCGCCUG